AUUGAACGCUGGCGGCAGGCCUAACACAUGCAAGUCGAACGAGUGGCGGACGGGUGAGUAAUGUCUGGGAAACUGCCUGAUGGAGGGGGAUAACUACUGGACACGGUAGCUAAUACCGCAUACCAUCAGAUGUGCCCAGAUGGGAUGAGCUAGUUGGUGGGGUAACGGCUAACCAAGGCGACGAUCCCUAGCUGGUCUGAGAGGAUGACCAGCCACACUGGAACUGAGACACGGUCCAGACGCCUACGGGAGGCAGCAGGGGGGAAUAUUGCACAAUGGGCGCAAGCCUGAUGCAGCCAUGCCGCGGGGAUGAAGAAGGCCUUCGGGUUGUAAAGUACUUGCAGCGGGGAGGCGUUACCCGCAGAAGAAGCACCGGCUAACUCCGGGCCAGCCGCCGCGGUAAUUC
rnacentral:rRNA from 1 species